AUCGCUUCUUGGCCUUUUGGCUAAGAUCAAGUGUAGUAUCUGUUCUUAUCAGAAGUGUUUAAGAGUAUCUCUUUCUCUACAGUUUCUCCAAAGUUGAAUUUCAUCAAACUUUUUGAUACUUAUCAACCUGAUAUGUAAAUUUUUAAAACUCAGCAUAU
ensembl:snRNA U2 U2 spliceosomal RNA